CCUACGGGGGGCAGCAGUGGGGAAUCUUGGGCAAUGGGCGCAAGCCUGACCCAGCAACGCCGCGUGAAGGAAGAAGGCUUUCGGGUUGUAAACUUCUUUUGUCAGGGAAGAGUAGAAGACGGUACCUGACGAAUAAGCCACGGCUAACUACGUGCCAGCAGCCGCGGUAAUACGUAGGGGGCAAGCGUUGUCCGGAUUUACUGGGUGUAAAGGGCGUGUAGCCGGGUUGACAAGUCAGAUGGUAAAUCCUGCGGCUUAACCGCAGAACUGCAUUUGAAACUGUUGAUCUUGAGUACUGGAGAGGCGGACGGAAUUCCUAGUGUAGCGGUGAAAUGCGUAGAUAUUAGGAGGAACACCAGUGGCGAAGGCGGUCUGCUGGACAGCAACUGACGGUGAGGCGCGAAAGCGUGGGGAGCAAACAGGAUUAGAUACCCUUGUAGUC
rnacentral:rRNA from 1 species